UACGAAGGGGGCUAGCGUUGUUCGGAAUUACUGGGCGUAAAGGGCGCGUAGGCGGCGUGUCAAGUCAGGCGUGAAAGCCCCGGGCUCAACCUGGGAACCGCGCUUGAAACUGGCAUGCUCGAGUUCGGGAGAGGAUGGUGGAAUUCCCAGUGUAGAGGUGAAAUUCGUAGAUAUUGGGAAGAACACCGAUGGCGAAGGCAGCCAUCUGGACCGACACUGACGCUGAGGCGCGAAAGCGUGGGGAGCAAACAGG
rnacentral:rRNA from 1 species